GCGGAGGGAUCAUUACACAAAUAUGAAGGCGGGCUGGAACCUCUCGGGGUUACAGCCUUGCUGAAUUAUUCACCCUUGUCUUUUGCGUACUUCUUGUUUCCUUGGUGGGUUCGCCCACCACUAGGACAAACAUAAACCUUUUGUAAUUGCAAUCAGCGUCAGUAACAAAUUAAUAAUUACAACUUUCAACAACGGAUCUCUUGGUUCUGGCAUCGAUGAAGAACGCAGCGAAAUGCGAUAAGUAGUGUGAAUUGCAGAAUUCAGUGAAUCAUCGAAUCUUUGAACGCACAUUGCGCCCUUUGGUAUUCCAAAGGGCAUGCCUGUUCGAGCGUCAUUUGUACCCUCAAGCUUUGCUUGGUGUUGGGCGUCUUGUCUCUAGCUUUGCUGGAGACUCGCCUUAAAGUAAUUGGCAGCCGGCCUACUGGUUUCGGAGCGCAGCACAAGUCGCACUCUCUAUCAGCAAAGGUCUAGCAUCCAUUAAGCCUUUUUUUCAACUUUUGACCUCGGAUCAGGUAGGGAUACCCGCUGAACUUAAGCAUAUCAAUAAGCGGAGGA
rnacentral:rRNA from 1 species